rnacentral:rRNA from 1 species
GCUGGCGGCGCGCCUAACACAUGCAAGUCGAACGAGAGAUGAGGAGCUUGCUCUUCAAAUCGAGUGGCGAACGGGUGAGUAACGCGUGAGGAACCUGCCUCAAAGAGGGGGACAACAGUUGGAAACGACUGCUAAUACCGCAUAAGCCCACGGCUCGGCAUCGAGCAGAGGGAAAAGGAGCAAUCCGCUUUGAGAUGGCCUCGCGUCCGAUUAGCUAGUUGGUGAGGUAAUGGCCCACCAAGGCGACGAUCGGUAGCCGGACUGAGAGGUUGAACGGCCACAUUGGGACUGAGACACGGCCCAGACUCCUACGGGAGGCAGCAGUGGGGAAUAUUGCACAAUGGGGGAAACCCUGAUGCAGCGACGCCGCGUGGAGGAAGAAGAUCUUCGGAUUGUAAACUCCUGUUGUUGAGGAAGAUAAUGACGGUACUCAACAAGAAAGUGACGGCUAACUACGUGCCAGCAGCCGCGGUAAAACGUAGGUCACAAGCGUUGUCCGGGAUUACUGGGUGUAAAGGGAGCGCAGGCGGGAGAACAAGUUGGAAGUGAAAUCCAUGGGCUCAACCCAUGAACUGCUUUCAAAACUGUUUUUCUUGAGUAGUGCAGAGGUAGGCGGAAUUCCCGGUGUAGCGGUGGAAUGCGUAGAUAUCGGGAGGAACACCAGUGGCGAAGGCGGCCUACUGGGCACCAACUGACGCUGAGGCUCGAAAGUGUGGGUAGCAAACAGGAUUAGAUACCCUGGUAGUCCACACCGUAAACGAUGAUUACUAGGUGUUGGAGGAUUGACCCCUUCAGUGCCGCAGUUAACACAAUAAGUAAUCCACCUGGGGAGUACGACCGCAAGGUUGAAACUCAAAGGAAUUG